UACGUAGGGUGCGAGCGUUGUCCGGAAUUAUUGGGCGUAAAGAGCGCGUAGGCGGUCCGAUAAGUCGGCUGUGAAAGUCAGGGGCUCAACCCUUGGAAGCCGGCCGAUACUGUCGGACUAGAGUACGGAAGAGGCAAGUGGAAUUCCUGGUGUAGCGGUGGAAUGCGCAGAUAUCAGGAGGAACACCUAUAGCGAAGGCAGCUUGCUGGGACGUUACUGACGCUAAGGCGCGAAAGCGUGGGGAGCGAACAGG
rnacentral:rRNA from 1 species